rnacentral:lncRNA from 1 species
UGCCAUAUUGGGAAGACCUGGAGAAGUUCAAGUCUGCAGCCUGUAGUCGAGGAUACAUAAGGUGGAUCGUGGUGUGGAAGAUUUGCGAUGAAGCAUUUGGAAGUUAACUUCCAAGACCUCCCUAGUAGAAGCACAGCUCCUGGUCUUGCGCCGUGGCUAAUGAGUAUCAUCAAUGCAAACAGUAUUUAAGAAGCCCUGCAAGGCCCUUUGCUUUCCUACUGAACGUUUUCCUAAGCCUGGGGGCAAACCAGAAUACUUAUAUGGCACCACCUAGAAUGAAUUAUGAAGACAGUUUUAAAAAUGGGGUUGAAGACAUGGCUCCAAGAUUGCUCUUCCAGAGCACCCGAGCUCAGUUCCCAGUACAUACUUCCAAGAGCUGACAAUCGACUGUAACUGCAGCUCUAGGGAAAUCUCACACCCUUCCUUGGCUUCCACAGGUUCUGCAUCCCCAGGUACAUACCCAGGCAAACACACAUACCUAAACAUAAAUAAAAGUGAAAAUAAACUUGGAAAAAAAUAAACGAUAAAUUUUGAUUAGGUCUUAGAGGAAAGAUGGAAGAUUCUUUUUUUUUUCUAACAACAGAAGGUAUUACAAGAUCAUUGGAAAGGAUGAUUUAAAAGCAUGCAAAAAAAAAAAAAGGAAAAAUAUUCAGAGAAGUUUGUCAAGCUACAAGUAGACACAACAGUUUGUUUUUCUAUAAGGGUUUUUAUUUGUGGCAUUUAUAAUUUUUAUAGUACCGUGCUGAUAAUUCUAAGUAAGCAUUCGCUCUCAUAGCCAAGUUCCUGUUCUUAAUCAUGCAUUAGUUUCUCAACAGAGUGCCUCUAAAAUGUCUAAACAUCACCUUCCUCAAGACCUAAAGCUGUGCCUAAUGGUAGGGUUCACUCUCUGGCGUAGGAGAUAGAGUUAAGAAUGCCUUCUCCUCCUUCCCCCUAGCUGUAAACAGAGACUGAAGUCUGCACUGUGGCGUCACUAGAGUCACUAAACAGAAACCUUCCCUUACUCCCCUCCUUCAGGCUCAGCUAAAAACCGUUCAUCAGUUGCCUCCCUGUGCCAAUGAGGAAGGACCUUGAUCUUAAAUGAAAGGUACCUCAGAACAGACCCUUAUUUUAAGAUCAGAGAAACAGACAGCAGUGGGGACUCAGGCACCAGGCACAGGAAGGCGUUUGGGGACCGGCUUGAAUGUUGGCUCAGCGGGGCUUGUUUUUAUUUGUGAUGAGACUUGGACUAGAAGAGAUUUUUUGCUUUGUUGCUUUCUCUCUCUCUCUCUCUCUCUCUCUCUCUCUCUCUCUCUCUCUCUUUCUGUGUGUGUGUGUGUGUGUGUGUAUGCAUGGAUGCAGGUGCCCAGGGAUCAGGUUCCCAGGGAGCUGUGUUUACAGGUAAUUGUGAUCCACCCAACCAUGGUGCUGGGGAUCAAACUCAGGUCCUCUGCAAGAACGAUACGCUCUUAAUUACUAAGCCAUCUCUCUUUUCUAUAUGGCUUCUGGGAAUACAAACUCAGGUUCUCCUGUUGUGUUCCUUCCCCGCUGAGCUACCUCCCUGGCCCUCUGAAACAUGUAAUUCUUUAUGCUAAUAGAGAAAAUUACCAAGGUUGACUCAGAAACCAUGUAUUAAAUCCCAAACUAAUCUGAAUAGAAAACAACCCAAAUCCUCAAAGGUCGGACCCACAGUUUCCCUGGGAUUUUUAACUCACUAUUACUAAAGAAAAAUUAAGAAUGUAUCGCCAUGGUCACUCUGAGAAUUCCCUGCUGCAGGCGUGUGAGUGAUAGACUGUGGUCAUAGUAGGUUUGCCUCAGCCAGAAGUCAUGCCUGGCUCAGGGCAGCCGCACUUGGUUUGGUGGUGAGGCCAUUUUUCUUCGGUCACUGACAGUGUUUGGUUCUGAUCCUCCCUUGAAUGGGUGAGAUGUUCAGGAAGGGUUUUCCCAAGGUAGAGAAAUCAAGAAGGACUUCAGUCUACUCAAAGAUGACGCGCCGCAAGGACUGUCUGUGUGCCUUGGGGGAGGAAAGCAAGCCUGUGGGUAUAAUUAGUGUCCUGCUGCCUUCCAGAGAUUGCACCACCACUUUCCUUAAAAUACUCUUAGAGGCGACAGACAUUGCCAGGGUCUGGCAGCUUCUAGACUUCUCUUAAGGCAGGGGAGGAGCUGCUGAGACCUGUAAUUGUAUUUCUGUUUAGUUUACAGACUCUUGUUAGACAUAGGGUAGAAAUAUUUUGGGGUGUGAGUGUGUGUGUAUGUGUGUGUAAAUCUGUAUGUAGGUGCACAUAUACUUGUGUGCAAAGGUAGGGACAUCUUGGUUUCCAUUCUGCAGACAUCAUUUACCUCGUGUGUUUGAGGCAGGGUCUCUCACUAUCCUGGUUGGCCAGGUGCCCACCAGUCUCUACCAUCUGUGCAUCAUGAAUGCAUACCACCUAAUGGCUUCUGGGGGUAGAGAGGAUCCAUUUUCUUCAAGGGUGUGGCUCUUGGUAGUUCACUCACAGCCCAGUGGAUGCUCUACACCCCAAAGUAUAUAAAAAAAUGUUAAGAAGAGAACAUGUAGUUGGGGGAUGAAGAGGAGGGGCAGCUAUAGGAGGAGCUAAGGAAAUGCGAUCAAAAUACAUUGUCAGCAAAUUAAUAACAAUAGUGAUUUGGUAAAGGAAAGAAACAAAGAAUGAACAAAAAAGACCAAGAGAAGAAUGCACCCACAAUGCACCCCGCAUGUUCAGCGUUUUACAUGGUGCUGAGACACAACUCGGGUCCUCAUGAUUUCUAGACAAGCCCCUAGCCACACAGCCAUCUCUCAUCUCCAAGGGUAGGGAUGGCUCUCAGUGUUUCUCUUGUGACACAUAUAUCCUAUUCACAUUUUAGUCUCUGGAACCACUAUACUCGGAGGAAACGGUCAUUUGAUAUCAUUCCCUUCACAAAAUAUG